rnacentral:misc_RNA from 1 species
AGCCCCAGCGGGACGGCGGCGAGUGGGUUUGGGAGCCGGGCCGGGACACGCGAGGCGACGGGGAGCUCACCGCAAGGCUGGAGGCCCGGAGGCUGCGUCCCCAAGCGCGCUGGGAGCCGAGAGACGGAGAGCGAGCGCUCUGCAGCGGGCGGUGGACGCGCUGAAGGCACCAACCCUGGAGAAGCUUCUGCUGGUGCUUGGACAUGCGCCUGGACCUUGGAGGGCUCUGCUGCCUGGGUGAGGACCCUGUUCCCACCCUGGCUGGAAACAAGGGACCCCGGCCCCCCGCCGGACACGGGGACUCCGACGGCACAAGACACCCACGCCAUGUGAUCGAUAAACCAGAAGUCAGUCGGAAAGUCUGGACUAAGACACCUUUAAGCAACGUUCUUGGCAUCUCUCUCGGAGGCGACACCGGCCUGCGAGGGGACACCUGCUGGGCCCCUCACUGCAGGCCCUGAAGAGCGGACUCUGUCGCUGCGGGGCAGGUGCACGGACACGGCCCACGCCUCCGCCUCCAGAGCUCUCCGGGACCCUCUGGGGCAGCUCAGCCUGCGCUCCCAGCCCAAUACCUUAUCAGGGGAUGGGGCGGCCACCACCACAGAGCUUGCUCCACCAGGAGCUCCCCGCUGAGGACCCCGACUGUCCCUGCUCAGCCCCCCUCCGAGCCAGCCGCCUGGGAGAGAGGCACCUGGAGCCCUGCACCCCAGCUCUGCGGAUGCACCCCAGCCCCUCUGAGCCCCACCCCUCCCCCAAGGGGAGAUGGGAACUAAAACGGCCUGGGAGGUCUGGGCCUGCAGCACAGCUCUCUGUGCCGGGGGACACCGGGCCCUGCCCUGGGGUCUGGAGACACUCACCGCUGUGGGCUGGGUGGGCUGCCCGCCUCAGUUCUGAGCCGGCGGAGAUCUCCUGGGCCACAGGCUGCAGCAGCUCACCUGGGGGCUGGGGUCUCGGGCAGCCCUGGCCUGCUGCAGCUCAGGCUGGGGGGCAGCUGGGGCGCGCGGCUGAGCCCGAGGAGAUGUGGGGCCCUGGGGCUGGGGGCUGGAAUCCGGCUGCUCGUCCUCAAGUUCAGGGGUGACUCUUCGGCCCCUGGGGAAAAUAAAGAGUGUGUUC